AAAACAUAUCUUCAGAUCAUCAGAUGCUCAGCAAAAUGAUCUAAUCAAGUUGACUAAAUCAAAGAAAUACUUCUGAAGAGGUUAGUCUUCUUCGAAAAAAGACUGUAUAGAGAACAGGUUGAAUAACGAAGUGAUCUCUGAACUGUUGGAUUUUGCAGACGCUCACUUGCUCAGCAGAGGAGUAUAGAGAGGAUCAGAACACCAACACGGAG